GUUUGAUCCUGGCUCAGAUUGAACGCUGGCGGUAUGCCUUACACAUGCAAGUCGAACGGUAGAGGAGCAAUCCUCGAGAGUGGCGAACGGGUGAGUAAUACAUCGGAACGUGCCCAGUCGUGGGGGAUAACGUAGCGAAAGCUACGCUAAUACCGCAUACGACCCGAGGGUGAAAGCGGGGGACUCGCAAGAGCCUCGCGCGAUUGGAGCGGCCGAUGGCAGAUUAGGUAGUUGGUGGGGUAAAGGCCCACCAAGCCUGCGAUCUGUAGCUGGUCUGAGAGGACGACCAGCCACACUGGGACUGAGACACGGCCCAGACUCCUACGGGAGGCAGCAGUGGGGAAUUUUGGACAAUGGGCGAAAGCCUGAUCCAGCCAUACCGCGUGCGGGAAGAAGGCCUUCGGGUUGUAAACCGCUUUUGUCAGGGAAGAAAUACUUCGGGCUAAUACCCUGGGGUGAUGACGGUACCUGAAGAAUAAGCACCGGCUAACUACGUGCCAGCAGCCGCGGUAAUACGUAGGGUGCAAGCGUUAAUCGGAAUUACUGGGCGUAAAGCGUGCGCAGGCGGUUCUAUAAGACAGAUGUGAAAUCCCCG
rnacentral:rRNA from 1 species